CUUUAUAUUCUGUUUUCUGUCCUCAGUCUGGUGUCAGAGCAUUUGUUUGUUCUGUGAAUUGUCUCCAUAGCCUAUGUUUGUAACUGUCCAAGCUCCAGGAUAUUUUUGUAAGUACCUUUUUGCUGCCAUGCCAGCCUUUUGUUGUUGUUAAGCCUUUUUUAUUAACAACUCUUCAAGUCCAUCAGUCCUUCAGUCUGCACCUGGGGUUCAGUCCUUUCAAGCCUUACAGACUCACUCUUCUCAAAAACACACAAAAGAGUACGGAAGACUAACUACAAUAAGCCACAGUGGUACAAUGAAUCGACAGAGGAGGGACGACAGGACACAGCCAAUAAUGGGCGGGAGCAGCGGUUAGGUCCCCCCACAGGAGCACCUGCGGCAAAAGGCUUUUUGCCCCCCGUUUCUGAGUCUGUAGUCUCUGCUGAUGAUGGUUCUGGCGAAUGGAACCUGGAUCCGUUGUAGUAUACACUGUGACUCCUCGCUGCUAAGGCUGCGAAACCCUGAAGAGCCAACAGUGGCAGCUGUACUGCUUUGCACAGGAGGCAAUCGAAUGUCUCAACUGGCUUCUUCCUCGUGUCACUAGCUUGCUGCAUGGCUGUGACUGCCUCUCCAAACAGCCCCUUAGUCCUCAACGGGUCGAAUGGGGGAAUGGUCUGUUCUGUCAAGCUGGACAGGUUCAGCCAGAAUGAUCUCUCUCCUGCCGCUGCUAAACCCAUAACACAGCCACAGCCCUGCACCACACCUCUGGAGACCCGGAAGAUAAGAUUUGCCACAACGCAGAUCUCUUCCCAAACUGCUGGACUCAGGUGCCCAAAUGUACCUCAACCAUAUUGUGAUACAGUUCUGCUUGGUAGGCUGAAAGGAGUGUGAUCACGUUUACAAUUGCUAUGGGCUGACCUGCAGAUCUGUACACCUUCUGGUAUAUAGAGGCACUCCUUUUUUUUUCCCCCAGGAGCACAGGUCCUGCAACUAAAAGAGUGAAGCAGCAGUUGGGAUGGAGGUGAAAAUUGACUGACUGCCCAUUAGCUAUUUCUAGCCCCGAGUAACCCGUGACAGGUUUUCACACAAUCACCUCAUCUCCUUCAUGCACGUAGGAACAGCUUUGCAAGUUUUUUUCCAUCAUAUAAAUCUCUGUUUUUAUGCUUGUCAUCUUGCAAUACAAUCCUCAUUCUCAAAGGCAUAAAACAUAAUUUGAAAUUGCUUUAAAUUGGCAUUUAAAAACCAUUAAA